rnacentral:rRNA from 1 species
GACGAACGCUGGCGGCGUGCUUAACACAUGCAAGUCGAACGUGAUUUUUGUGGAAAUUCUUUCGGGAAUGGAAGCGAAAUGAAAGUGGCGAACGGGUGAGUAACACGUGAGCAACCUACCUUACACAGGGGGAUAGCCGUUGGAAACGACGAUUAAUACCGCAUGAGACCACAGAAUCGCAUGAUAUAGGGGUCAAAGAUUUAUCGGUGUAAGAAGGGCUCGCGUCUGAUUAGCUAGUUGGAAGGGUAAAGGCCUACCAAGGCGACGAUCAGUAGCCGGUCUGAGAGGAUGAACGGCCACAUUGGAACUGAGACACGGUCCAAACUCCUACGGGAGGCAGCAGUGGGGAAUAUUGCACAAUGGGGGGAACCCUGAUGCAGCGACGCCGCGUGAGCGAAGAAGGUUUUCGAAUCGUAAAGCUCUGUCCUAUGAGAAGAUAAUGACGGUAUCAUAGGGGAGCCCCGGUA